rnacentral:tRNA from 1 species
CCAAGCUGUAGCUCAGUUGGUUAGAGCGCUGCACCGGAAUCGCAGGGCCGUAGGUUCAAUUCCUACCAGAGGA